rnacentral:lncRNA from 1 species
GCAGCCCCGGGAAUGAAGUCAAUUGAUGUUCAAUCCCUCUCAAAGGUGGUAACCCUGAGGUAGAUCAUUAGGAAAAACAUCGCUAAAUUCUUGCAAAACUUCAACCACAACACUUGGCAAAGAAGGGUCAAGUUCGUUAGUUGAGAAACAAGCUUCCUUGUACAUGAGUACAAUAAUUGGCUUGUUAGAAAAUAAAGCUUUCCUCACAUCUCUCAUUUUAGCAUAAAAGCUCAUUUUCUUUCCCUCAUUCUUUUCUAUGGUCAAAUGCAUCUCUCUUUCUUUUUCCUUUUGAUCUUCAUU